rnacentral:rRNA from 1 species
UCAGGAUUAACGCUGGCGGCGUGCCUAACACAUGCAAGUCGAACGGACGUCUUCGGACGUCAGUGGCGAACGGGUGAGUAACGCGUAGGUAAUGUGCCUCUGCGCUGCGAAUAACAGCCUGAAAAGGCUGCUAAUACGGAAUGGUCCUCUCGGGGGGCAUCCCCCUUGAGGUAAAGAUUUAUCGCGCGGAGAUCAGCCUGCGUCCUAUUAGUUAGUUGGCGGGUAACGGCCCACCAAGACGACGAUGGGUAACUGGUCUGAGAGGAUGAACAGUCACACUGGAACUGAGAACGGUCCAGACUCCUACGGGAGGCAGCAGUGAGGAAUUUUGCGCAAUGGAGGGAACUCUGACGCAAGCAACGCCGCGUGAGUGAUGACGGCCUCGGGUUGUAAAGCUCUGUCGAGAGGGACGAGUAGGGACGGUACCUCUCAAGAAAGCCCCGGCUAACUAUGUGCCAGCAGCAGC